AUAUGGGCCCUCAAUUUUCAUACCUAAAUUUUCGUUGCCACUUUCCUUCACUUUCCCGGGAAAAUCCUAACUUGCUCAACUUCUCCCACAGAAAAUGGCUUUACCAUCCCAAAAUAUUGACUCUCUGCUCCACCAUAACCUCUGACUCACUGAGUUAUGGUGGAUGGGACGACCCAAGACUGGGUGGUGGCUCAGUUCACUCUGGUGAGUCAAACCAGCUCCGUUAUCUUGAUAAAAGGUACAUCUUUGUGUACCUAUUAGGGUUUAUUUGUGCUUUGGCCAUUUCUAGGGUUAGGGUUUCUUCAACUAUUGUGUUCCCAGCUUGUGUCAUUGUUUUUUCUGUUGGGUUUUCGAUUGGGUUUGUUAAUGGUGGACAUGUGAGUUAAGCUUAAUUGGAACCACGAAGAGGCCAAAUGAUAAAAAAAUUAGGGUUUCAAUUAAGAAAUUGAGGAAUUUGAUGGAUUUUCUUUCUGGGUUUGAUGGUAAAAUCAAUAAUUUAAUCAAUGGCAUAAGAAGAGGUAUUGGGAGUAAUCAUAUCACUGUGGAUGAUUUGGAGAGUUAUAUUAAGGUCUUGGAAUCAAUUGGGUUAUCUAAUUUGAAUGCUAGAAGUGUUGUUGAGGCUUGUACUGACACCAUGUUAGUUGAGAACCAAGAAGUGGAAAGAAAUUUGAAUCAAAAGUUGAGUAGGAGAAAGAAAGAAGUGGGUGAAACCGGGUUUGAUUUGUUACAGUUUAUUGGCGGUUUGAUUCGUGGAACGUCAGUUGGUUUGAAGCAUAAUAAAAUGAGAGACAGUAUUAAGAGGGAUUCAAAUCAUGUAGAGGUUAACGAUCAAAGUCAAGGUAACAUUUAGGCGCCCGCAGUGGAUGAAAAGGUUUUAAGUUCAGUGUUUAAUGAUAAUUUAGGAAAUAGAACUGCAGCCAUUUCUGGAUAUACUCGUUAUAAGCUUGAUAUGGUAAAUGAAGCUAGAAGAAUAAAUUUAUUUGUGCAUGAUCAAAUGAAAAUUUCAGAUCACAUGAUAACUUUCCUGAUUCUGUGGAUUUUCGUGUCGAUUUAAAGCAGAUGAAAACUGAGGCUUCGUUUGAACAAGAACGGAUUCUCCACAAAACCAAUGGAAGUUACAGGGAGAACAGAGAAAAAGAGAUUUACAAAACUCAUAGCAGAGAAGAAGAGAGGUUGAUUUCUGAAGAUGAUCCGUCACACAAUAGUGAUAUUGGUUCUUUUCCAUCUUUGACAGUUUCGGAUGAUAUUGUGUUCAAUAGGUAUCUUAUGGAAGCUAAUGCCUUUCUGAAAGAAGCCCGGGAAUGUUUGACGGUUAACGGUGAUGAAGGACAUGCAGAAAGUGUAUUAUACGAGUCUGCAAAAUUACUCUGUAAAGCCAUAGACAUGAAGCCUUUGAGUACUGGCUGUGGCCCAGUUGGGAAAUACUUAUCUUCUUCAUGGAGAACUGAAAUUGAAAAUCAGUCAUUGAUUGAGAGCUCUACUUGCAAACAGUGACCUGGUAUUAAUUCAGAAACGGGGUAAAGUUCUCAAAGGACUCCUUGUUGAGGCGGGAAGAAAAUAUAGGCUGGCCUUGUCAAUUGACGGAAAUGAUACAAGAGCCUUGUAUAACUGGGGUCUUGCCCUGAACUUCCGUGCACAGUUGAUUGCAGAUAUUGGACCGGAAGCAGCUGUUGACGUUGACAAGAUUUUCUUGGCUGCAAUCGACAAAUUUGAUGCCAUGAUGUCCAAAAGCAAUGUUUAUACAUCUGAUGCUCUGUAUAGAUGGGGUGUGGCAUUGCAGCAAAGGUCUCGACUACGGCCAAGGGACAGUGAAGAGAAGGCGAAGUUACUGCAGCAAGCAACGAGGCUAUAUCAAGACGCGCUUGACAUUGACUCAGACAAUCUCCAAGUAACAGAAGCUUUAUAUUCAUGCAUUUCUGUGCUCAAUUUUAGGAGAUAGAUAGUAAUGCUUUGUUGUAAAAUGCCAAUUUUUUCGCUUUUCCUUGCCCUUUUCUUCUUUCCGUAGUUCCUUUUUUGUUCAUGCCCCACACCAUGCUUGCCAAAUGCAAGCCUAAAUAAGGUCUAUUAUUUCUUCUUUUUCACCGACCACCAUGCCUGGACCCUUUGGACUCACCCCUGCAGAGUAAAUUCUGAGUACCGUUAGAGUCCCAUCCUGACCACCAUGCCUGGACCCUUUGGACUCACCCUUGGGGAGUAAAUCCUGAGUAACGUUCUACACACCACGGUAGUCGGGAGAU